rnacentral:rRNA from 1 species
UACGUAGGGGGCAAGCGUUGUCCGGAUUUAUUGGGCGUAAAGAGCGUGUAGGCGGCCAGACAAGUCUGCUGUGAAAACUCGAGGCUCAACCUCGAGCUGUCGGCGGAAACUGUCUGGCUAGAGUCCGGAAGAGGAGAGUGGAAUUCCACGUGUAGCGGUGAAAUGCGUAGAGAUGUGGAGGAACACCAGUGGCGAAGGCGACUCUUUGGCCUGUAACUGACGCUGAGGCGCGAAAGCGUGGGGAGCAAACAGG